CUUUGUCCUCCAAGUUCCUGAAAACACAAGUUGUAGGUACCCAUCCGGAUACAGAAGGAGCACUCCUUUCCACUGUGGUUUGAGAUUUUGUCCAGACCUCUGAUGAACUAUGGAGGUAGGUCUCAUGGAGAAUUAAACAAACUGACGACCCCUUGAGAUUGCAUGGCGGUUUGCAGUCUUCACAGAUGUUUACAGAUGUAGUGUCUCAUAUGCUCCUCCCAGAGGCUCAUGGGGUAGGAGUAACAGGAGCUCUAUAGUCGAGCCUUCCCUGUGUGCCAGGUGGGCUUGUACUUGCUCAUUGACUCUUCACACAACCUUGGGAGUUGGGUUCUAGCCCCAUUUUGCAGAUGAGGCUCAGAGAGUUGAAUCUCAGAGAUGAGAUUCCGGAGUUCACGCAGUGGGAAGUGACAGGAUCAGCAUUGUGACCCUUCACAGUCUGCUUCCAAGGUCAGAUGUAAACCACUAUGUGACAUUGGCUCAAUGGCUUUCAGAGAACACACAUGACCUGUCACCUGUACACUGGAAUGAAGACCUAUCUGUCCUGCUCUUUCUUGUUUCAGCUUUCAGCUGGUUUGGGAACCUCUGAAGCUUUGUGCUCAGAUAGUUUCCUCUGCCUAGAUCCACUGUGGCUGUGGUUCCCUCCACUGGCGUCACUCAGGAAUCAGCCUUCUCUCUCUAAGGUCAAGCUCAUGGUUUGAAUCCCUUAAUUUCCUUCAAGUUGACAUUUUACCGUUCCAUGGUCCCAAGCCUCCAGCAGCUUCUAAAGGAGUGAUUUCAGAUAUGCUCUCCCCACAGUUCUUAGAACAAUUCAUUCCAAUCUUGGGACAAUGCCCGGAAUUCAAGAGAACCAGCAUGAUCCUUCCAGCCUGGCGUUUCCUUCCAUCUGCUGUCUAAAGCUCUGUCUACAGGCGUAAACUGCUAGAUGAUAAAACACUCCAAAAGACAGGAAACUUGCCAGAAGCUAGUGAGUCAGGAAGAAGGAAGCCAGGAUUCAACCCUGGCAUUGCUUCAGUGCUGAGGAUACAGCUAUGAACAAAAUCUCUUCCCCAAAUGAAUUUUAGAAAGAAGGUUUGCAUAACAUGUAAGAUGGAGGAAUUUAAAUUUCCACUCAAGCAUUAUUUCCUAUGGUGAAGGAUCCCACUACUGUGAUUCCAAGUUUAUUACUUGAGUGACCUCCUGACCUAAUGGAAUAGAAAAAAAUCCCUCUUUAGGCUGAAGACAUUGAAUUUCUAUCUCCAGCUCCAGAAAGCAUUUGAUCUUGUCACAUUAUUGCCGUGUAUACAAGUACAGGUUUAUCCAGCAAAAAUCAGACGUAGUCAUCUCAAACGCCAUAUCUCAGAUGCUUGUGCAGACGUUGACGGAAGCUGCUAGUACACCAUGUUCAUUCCAAUUUUGAACACUACAUUGAACUGUGCGUUUUAAUGAAGG
ensembl:lncRNA